rnacentral:rRNA from 1 species
AGUGAACGCUGGCGGUAGGCCUACACAUGCAAGUCGAACGGCAGCACAGUAAGAGCUUGCUCUUACGGGUGGCGAGUGGCGGACGGGUGAGGAAUACAUCGGAAUCUACUUUUUCGUGGGGGAUAACGUAGGGAAACUUACGCUAAUACCGCAUACGACCUACGGGUGAAAGCAGGGGAUCUUCGGACCUUGCGCGAUUGAAUGAGCCGAUGUCGGAUUAGCUAGUUGGCGGGGUAAAGGCCCACCAAGGCGACGAUCCGUAGCCGGUCUGAGAGGAUGAUCAGCCACACUGGAACUGAGACACGGUCCAGACUCCUACGGGAGGCAGCAGUGGGGAAUAUUGGACAAUGGGCGCAAGCCUGAUCCAGCCAUACCGCGUGGGUGAAGAAGGCCUUCGGGUUGUAAAGCCCUUUUGUUGGGAAAGAAAAGCAGCAGGUUAAUACCCCGCUGUUCUGACGGUACCCAAAGAAUAAGCACCGGCUAACUUCGUG